UUAGAAAGCAAUUUCAACCUCACCUGGUGUUUCAGCGGCCAGCCUUUGACCAAGCAAAGGUACCAAACAGAAUAGUGCAACCACGAAUCACGAGUAAUGAUUUCGGCAUUUGUCAUUCUCGCAGCAGCAUGUGCUAUUUCUGUUGUAGGACAGUUCUACGAUCCUCGCUGCCCACAAAGAGAACACAGACGUGUCCACAAGAGCAUGGAAGGAACCCCCAUCCCGGCGCGCCUCCUUUUACCGGAGUUUGGCCGCAGUGCUGUGAAAUGUGUUGAGUUCAACUGGUAAUGAAAAGCUCAACUGUACCGCUAAUAGCCACAACGCAAGCAUCACUCCAGGCCAUUUGUUCCCGCUGAAAAACGUCAUCUGAAAGAUAUUAGGGUUCCACCUAUUGCAGUCAAGUAUUUGAAGGUUGCUUUUGAAAUAAAUUAUCUAAACUAAGCAUGCUA